UACGUAGGGUCCGAGCGUUGUCCGGAAUUAUUGGGCGUAAAGAGCUCGUAGGCGGUUUGUCGCGUCUGCUGUGAAAUCCCGAGGCUCAACCUCGGGUCUGCAGUGGGUACGGGCAGACUGGAGUGCGGUAGGGGAGAAUGGAAUUCCUGGUGUAGCGGUGGAAUGCGCAGAUAUCAGGAGGAACACCCGUGGCGAAGGCGGCUUUCUAGGAUAUACCUGACACUGAGAAGCGACAGCUAGGGGAGCAAACAGG
rnacentral:rRNA from 1 species